GUGGCGAAGGCGGCUUACUGGACGAUGACUGACGUUGAGGCUCGAAAGCGUGGGGAGCAAACAGGAUUAGAUACCCUGGUAGUCCACGCCGUAAACGAUGACUGCUAGGUGUCGGGUAGCAAAGCUAUUCGGUGCCGCAGCUAACGCAAUAAGCAGUCCACCUGGGGAGUACGUUCGCAAGAAUGAAACUCAAAGGAAUUGACGG
rnacentral:rRNA from 1 species